rnacentral:rRNA from 1 species
GAUGAACGCUGGCGGCGUGCCUAAUACAUGCAAGUCGAGCGAACAGACGAGGAGCUUGCUCCUCUGACGUUAGCGGCGGACGGGUGAGUAACACGUGGAUAACCUACCUAUAAGACUGGGAUAACUUCGGGAAACCGGAGCUAAUACCGGAUAAUAUAUUGAACCGCAUGGUUCAAUAGUGAAAGACGGUUUUGCUGUCACUUAUAGAUGGAUCCGCGCCGCAUUAGCUAGUUGGUAAGGUAACGGCUUACCAAGGCAACGAUGCGUAGCCGACCUGAGAGGGUGAUCGGCCACACUGGAACUGAGCCACGGUCCAGACUCCUACGGGAGGCAGCAGUAGGGAAUCGUCCGCAAUGGGCGAAAGCCUGACGGAGCAACGCCGCGUGAGUGAUGAAGGUCUUCGGAUCGUAAAACUCUGUUAUUAGGGAAGAACAAAUGUGUAAGUAACUAUGCACGUCUUGACGGUACCUAAUCAGAAAGCCACGGCUAACUACGUG